AUUGAACGCUGGCGGCAGGCCUAACACAUGCAAGUCGAGCGAGCGGCGGACGGGUGCGUAAUGUAUGGGGACUGCCCGCUCGAGGGGGAUAACUACUGGAAACGGUAGCUAAUACCGCAUACUAUCGGAUAACCCAUAUGGGAUUAGCUAGUAGGUGAGGUAAUGGCUCACCUGGGCGACGAUCCCUAGCUGGUCUGAGAGGAUGAUCAGCCACACUGGGAAGGAGACACGGCCCAGACUCCGACGGAGGCAGCAGUGGGGAAUAUUGAACAAUGGGCGCAAUCCUGAUGCAGCCAUGCGGCGUGUAUGAAGAAGGCCCUAGGGUUGUAAAGUACUUUCAGUCGGGAGGCGUUACCAGCAGAAGAAGCACCGGCUAACUCCGUGCCAGCAGCCGCGGUAAUAC
rnacentral:rRNA from 1 species